rnacentral:rRNA from 1 species
GAUCCUGGCUCAGGAUGAACGCUAGCUACAGGCUUAACACAUGCAAGUCGAGGGCAGCAUGUGGUGCUUGCAACCAAUGAUGGCGACCGGCGCACGGGUGAGUAACGCGUAUCCAACCUUCCCUAUAGUAGAGGAUAGCCCGGCGAAAGUCGGAUUAAUACUCUAUGUUUUCCAAUGCAGACAUCUAAAAUGGAACAAAGGUUCACCGCUAUAGGAUGGGGGAUGCGUCUGAUUAGAUAGUCGGCGGGGUAACGGCCCACCGAGUCGACGAUCAGUAGGGGUUCUGAGAGGAAGGUCCCCCACAUUGGAACUGAGACACGGUCCAAACUCCUACGGGAGGCAGCAGUGAGGAAUAUUGGUCAAUGGGCGAGAGCCUGAACCAGCCAAGUAGCGUGCAGGAAGACGGCCCUAUGGGUUGUAAACUGCUUUUAUACAGGGAUAAAGUGACGUACGUGUACGUUUUUGUAGGUACUGUAUGAAUAAGGACCGGCUAAUUCCGUGCCAGCAGCAGC